AGGAAGGUCUCGUUUGUUGGUAUACGAGUUGAGCUGUAAACUCAAUGGCUAAUAGUCAUCGAAGGUUCAAUUCCUUCUCUUCCUA